rnacentral:rRNA from 1 species
GGGCUUAACAUCUGCAAGUUGAAGGAGAAGCCCUGACUUCGGUUGGGGUGGAGACUGGCGCACGGGUGAGUAACGCGUAGACAACCUGCCUAUAUCUGGGGGAUAACCACCUGAAAGGGUGGCUAAUACCGCAUAAUGCAGCGGGGCCGCAUGGCCACAGUUGUUAAGGGCCUUCGGGCUGGAUGUAGAUGGGUCUGCGUGCUAUUAGUUAGUUGGUAAGGUAACGGCUUACCAAGGCGAUGAUAGCUAGGGGGUCUGAGAGGAUGAUCCCCCACACUGGGACUGAGACACGGCCCAGACUCCUACGGGAGGCAGCAGUGAGGAAUCUUGCGCAAUGGAGGAAACUCUGACGCAGCCACGCCGCGUGCCGGAAGACGGCCCUAUGGGUUGUAAACGGCUUUUAUUUGGGAAGAACCUGGGAGAUUUGUCUCCCACUGACGGUACCAAUUGAACAAGCACCGGCUAACUCCGUGCCAGCAGCCGCGGUAAUACCGGAGGGUGCCAAGCGUUGUCCGGAAU